rnacentral:tRNA from 1 species
GAGGGUGUAGCUCAGUGGUACAGUGUGUGCUUGACAUGCAUGAGGUCCUGAGUUCAAUCCCCAGUACCUCCA